rnacentral:tRNA from 1 species
AUUUAUAUAGUUUAAAAAAAAACAUUACAUUUUCAUUGUAAAAUUAGAAUUUUUCUUAUAAAUA